rnacentral:piRNA from 1 species
UCGAACUCAGAAUCUGCCUGCCUCUGCC